rnacentral:rRNA from 1 species
GUGUGCGGCCAUGCCACCCUUAACAAACCCAAUCCCGUCUGAUCUCGGAAGCUAAGCAGGGUCGGGCCUGGUUAGUAUUUGGAUGGGAGACCACCUAGGAAGACCAAGUGCUGUAGGCC